rnacentral:rRNA from 1 species
UACGUAGGGUGCGAGCGUUAAUCGGAAUUACUGGGCGUAAAGCGCACGUAGGCGGCUUUGUAAGUAAGAGGUGAAAGCCCAGAGCUCAACUCUGGAAUUGCCUUUUAGACUGCAUCGCUUGAAUCAUGGAGAGGUCAGUGGAAUUCCGAGUGUAGAGGUGAAAUUCGUAGAUAUUCGGAAGAACACCAGUGGCGAAGGCGGCUGACUGGACAUGUAUUGACGCUGAGGUGCGAAAGCGUGGGGAGCAAACAGG